CUGUGACUCCUACGGGAGGCAGCAGUGGGGAAUAUUGCACAAUGGGCGCAAGCCUGAUGCAGCCAUGCCGCGUGUGUGAAGAAGGCCUUCGGGUUGUAAAGCACUUUCAGUUGUGAGGAAGGUGGUGUCGUUAAUAGCGGCAUCAUUUGACGUUAGCAACAGAAGAAGCACCGGCUAACUCCGUGCCAGCAGCCGCGGUAAUACGGAGGGUGCGAGCGUUAAUCGGAAUUACUGGGCGUAAAGCGCAUGCAGGUGGUUUGUUAAGUCAGAUGUGAAAGCCCGGGGCUCAACCUCGGAACUGCAUUUGAAACUGGCAGACUAGAGUACUGUAGAGGGGGUAGAAUUUCAGGUGUAGCGGUGAAAUGCGUAGAGAUCUGAAGGAAUACCGGUGGCGAAGGCGGCCCCCUGGACAGAUACUGACACUCAGAUGCGAAAGCGUGGGGAGCAAACAGGAUUAGAUACCCUGGGAG
rnacentral:rRNA from 1 species